UAUAUCUUAGUAUAAAAUGUAUUUAAAUUUUUGAUAUUUAAGGAAAUAGAGUUAUUCUAUUAGAUAUAU
rnacentral:tRNA from 1 species